UACGUAGGGUGCGAGCGUUGUCCGGAAUUAUUGGGCGUAAAGAGCGUGUAGGCGGUCUGUCGCGUCUGCUGUGAAAAUCCGGGGCUCAACCCCGGACUUGCAGUGGGUACGGGCAGACUAGAGUGUGGUAGGGGAGACUGGAAUUCCUGGUGUAGCGGUGAAAUGCGCAGAUAUCAGGAGGAACACCGAUGGCGAAGGCAGGUCUCUGGGCCACUACUGACGCUGAGAAGCGAAAGCAUGGGGAGCGAACAGG
rnacentral:rRNA from 1 species